CCCGCCCAUCUGGGCGGAGUGAGGAGGGACUCCGGGGCCCCGCGCCUGUGCGCACGCCCGCGGCCGGUUUGCAGGGCCGGACGCGCGCCCCGCGUCCCGGGCAGGAAGAUGGUGGCGAGCGCGCGGGUGCAGAAGCUGGUGCGGCGCUACAAGCUGGCGAUCGCCACCGCACUGGCCAUCCUGCUGCUGCAGGGCCUGGUGGUGUGGAGCUUCAGCGGCCUGGAGGAGGACGAGCCGGGCGAGAAAGGGAGGCAGAGGAAGCCACGGCCACUAGACCCUGGGGAGGGCUCUAAGGACACAGACAGCUCUGCGGGGCGUAGGGGCAGCGCUGGGAGAAGGCACGGACGCUGGCGGGGCCGCGCUGAGAGCCCAGGUGUGCCCGUGGCCAAGGUGGUGCGGGCAGUAACCAGUCGGCAGAGGGCCAGCCGACGGGUGCCCCCGGCCCCACCUCCGGAGGCACCAGGCCGCCAGAACCUGAGCGGAGCGGCGGCCGGGGAAGCACUGAUAGGGGCCCCAGGCUUCCCACAGCAUGGAGACACAGGGAGUGUGGAGGGUGCCCCCCAGCCCACGGACAACACCUUCACUCCGAAGUGUGAGAUUGUGGGCAAGGACGCACUGUCAGCACUGGCCCGGGCCAGCACCAAGCAGUGUCAACAGGAGAUCGCUAAUGUAGUGUGCCUGCACCAAGCUGGGAACCUAAUGCCCAAGUCUGUGCCCCGGCACUGCCAGCUGGCUGGCAAGAUGAGCCCUGGCGUCCAAUGGGAAGAGAUCCGGGCCCAGCAGCCUGUUGGUGGCCCUCCAGUACGCAUCGCCUACAUGCUGGUGGUUCACGGCCGUGCUAUCCGCCAGCUGAAGCGUCUUCUGAAGGCCGUCUACCAUGAGCAACACUUCUUUUAUAUACAUGUGGACAAGCGUUCCAACUACCUGUACCGGGAGGUAGUGGAACUGGCCCAGCACUACGAGAAUGUGCGGGUGACACCUUGGCGCAUGGUCACCAUCUGGGGCGGGGCCAGCCUUCUGAGGAUGUAUCUGAGGAGCAUGAAGGACCUUCUGGAAAUUCCUGGCUGGACCUGGGACUUCUUCAUCAACCUGAGUGCCACUGACUAUCCAACGAGGACGAAUGAGGAGCUGGUAGCAUUCUUAUCCAAGAACCGGGACAAGAAUUUCCUCAAGUCACAUGGGCGAGACAAUUCCAGGUUCAUUAAGAAGCAAGGCCUGGACCGGCUUUUCCAUGAGUGUGAUUCCCACAUGUGGCGCCUGGGUGAACGGCAGAUCCCGGCAGGCAUUGUGGUGGAUGGUGGCUCUGACUGGUUUGUGCUGACACGCAGCUUUGUGGAAUAUGUGGUGUAUACAGAUGACCCCCUCGUGGCCCAGCUUCGCCAGUUCUAUACAUACACAUUGCUUCCGGCUGAGUCAUUCUUCCACACAGUGCUGGAGAACAGCCCGGCCUGUGCGAGCCUGGUGGACAACAACCUGCGGGUCACCAACUGGAACCGCAAGCUGGGCUGCAAAUGCCAGUACAAGCACAUCGUGGACUGGUGCGGCUGCUCCCCCAACGACUUCAAGCCACAGGACUUCCUGAGGCUUCAGCAAGUCUCCAGACCCACCUUCUUUGCCCGGAAGUUCGAGUCGACUGUGAACCAGGAAGUCCUGGAAAUUUUGGACUUCCAUCUAUAUGGCAGCUACCCACCCAGCACACCAGCCCUCAAAGCCUACUGGGAGAACAUCUACGACGUGGCCGAUGGCCCUGGCGGACUCAGCGACGUCCUACUCACAGCCUACACAGCCUUUGCCCGUCUCAGCCUGCGUCAUGCUGCCACUGCUGUAUCCCCACUGGCCACUGCAGUCUGCAGGUUUGAGCCCAGGGGGUUGCCGUCCAGCGUGCACCUGUAUUUCUAUGACGACCAUUUCCAGGGCUACCUGGUGACGCAGGCGGUGCAGCCCUCAGCCCAGGGGCCAGCAGAGACACUUGAGAUGUGGCUGAUGCCCCAGAGGUCGCUGAAGCUGUUGGGGCACAGUGACCAGGCCAGCCGGCUCCAGAGUCUGGAGGUGGGACAGGUCCUCCCCCCUUGCUUUCUCCUGACCCCCAGCAAGACGCAGGGAGUGGGAAGAGAGGGACAGACACCAAGGGAGGGUUCUAGACCUACCCCUUCAAUUUGAAGAUAGGGAAACUGAGGCCCUGAAAGAAGCAGUGACUGACCUGAGGUUACACCAUGAGGCGGCAUCAGAGCAGAUAGAAGGACUUCUCCCAGGCAUCUGCCCAGCUGCCUCCCUCCCUACAGGUUGGUACUGAGUGGGACCCCAAAGAACGUCUCUUCCGGAACUUUGGGGGCCUGCUGGGACCACUGGAUGAGCCCGUAGCCAUGCAGCGCUGGGCCCGGGGCCCCAACCUCACAGCCACUGUGGUCUGGAUUGACCCCACCUAUGUUGUGGCCACAUCGUAUGACAUCACGGUAGAUGCGGAUACCGAAGUCACGCAGUACAAGCCUCCACUGAGCCUGCCACUGCGGCCGGGAGCCUGGACUGUCCGCUUGCUUCAGUUCUGGGAACCCCUGGGUGAGACCCGCUUCCUCGUGCUGCCGUUGACGUUCAACCGCAAACUACCUCUCAGGAAAGAUGAUGCCAGCUGGCUGCAUGCGGGACCACCCCACAACGAAUACAUGGAGCAGAGUUUCCAGGGCCUAAGUGGCAUCCUGAAUCUGCCUCAGGCAGAGGCCCUGGAGGAGGCUGCCCGGAGGCACACAGAGCUCACGGGUUCUGCACUUGAGGCCUGGACAGAUGGGGAACUGAGCAAUUUCUGGUCUGUGGCAGGAUUGUGUGCCAUAGGACCUUCUGCUUGUCCCUCCCUGGAGCUCUGCAGACUGACCAGCUGGAGCUCUCUGUCUCCUGACCCCAAGUCAGAGCUGGGGCCUGUCAAAGCUGACGGGCGACUCAGGUAGCAGGACCCCAGCCAGCACAACCCGGAGGAGCCGGGGAAUUGCACCUUACAGACAACGGAGGGACAUCUCUCCCACAGACAAGAACCAGAGGCCCAGGCAGUUUGCCCAUUUGAGCCAACAGGAACCUACACUGAGGGCAGGGAAGGUGGGUGCAGUACUCCCUACUGCUAACGGCCCUGCAAGAGACCAGCGGUCCACUGGAGCCAUGAGGAGGAUCUUCCUCUGCUCCUCGUUAGUUUAUACUUUUUUAAUAAUUAAAAUGAGUGGCAGAGGGAGGACGAUGUGCAAUAGGGCUCAGAGCAGCCCCAGGAUAUGGGCCAUGGCCAUGGGGAGCACCACAGAGCAUAUCGGUUUCUGCUCUGGGGAGGCAUGGGCUGCCUCCCUCUCCAGAGCCUCCAUCCCCAGCCUGCAUCUGAACUGCGCACUGCUGAGGCUCUGAGGCCCGGAGGACAGGUGAUCUGUGGGGGCUACUGUGGAGUUGGACUUUAGUGAGCAGGCCUCUCCUCUGGGAGCCAGGGAGCCCUAGAGCAGAGCUGGGGCCGGCUCUCGGGCUUCCCUAGGAAAUGCGCGCCAUCAGGGCCUGCUGAGAUCCAUGAAGUUUCCCUACUGGAGGAGGAAGCCCACUGGCGGCACAGGAAGGCUGUCUGUCAGAGCUCUCACAAGAGUCGAGUUGUGCCUGAAGCUCAGUGCGAAGUCUGAAAUAUGCAACAGAGGAAAUAUAUCUCUAUCUCUCCAAGCUCAA